rnacentral:rRNA from 1 species
UGGGGAAUUUUGGACAAUGGGCGAAAGCCUGAUCCAGCAAUGCCGCGUGUGUGAAGAAGGCCUUCGGGUUGUAAAGCGCUUUUGUCCGGAAAGAAAUCCUUGGCUCUAAUACAGUCGGGGGAUGACGGUACCGGAAGAAUAAGCACCGGCUAACUACGUGCCAGCAGCCGCGGUAAUACGUAGGGUGCAAGCGUUAAUCGGAAUUACUGGGCGUAAAGCGUGCGCAGGCGGUUUGCUAAGACCGAUGUGAAAUCCCCGGGCUCAACCUGGGAACUGCAUUGGUGACUGGCAGGCUAGAGUAUGGCAGAGGGGGGUAGAAUUCCACGUGUAGCAGUGAAAUGCGUAGAGAUGUGGAGGAAUACCGAUGGCGAAGGCAGCCCCCUGGGCCAAUACUGACGCUCAUGCACGAAAGCGUGGGGAGCAAACAGGAUUAGAUACCCUGGUAGUCCACGCCCUAAACGAUGUCAACUAGUUGUUGGGGAUUCAUUUCCUUAGUAACGUAGCUAACGCGUGAAGUUGAUCGCCUGGGGAGUACGGUCGCAAGAUUAAAACUUAAAGGAAUUGACGGGGUCAUAGCUGUUUCCU